rnacentral:ribozyme from 1 species
UUAUUUGACUUUGUUUUCUUUUUCUUUGUUUUCUUCUUCUUUUUCUUCUUUUCCUUUUCUUGA